AUUGAACGCUGGCGGCAUGCCUUACACAUGCAAGUCGAACGGUAACAGGUCUUCGGAUGCUGACGAGUGGCGAACGGGUGAGUAAUACAUCGGAACGUGCCCGAGAGUGGGGGAUAACGAAGCGAAAGCUUUGCUAAUACCGCAUACGAUCUCAGGAUGAAAGCAGGGGACCGUAAGGCCUUGCGCUCACGGAGCGGCCGAUGGCAGAUUAGGUAGUUGGUGGGAUAAAAGCUUACCAAGCCGACGAUCUGUAGCUGGUCUGAGAGGACGACCAGCCACACUGGGACUGAGACACGGCCCAGACUCCUACGGGAGGCAGCAGUGGGGAAUUUUGGACAAUGGGCGCAAGCCUGAUCCAGCAAUGCCGCGUGUGUGAAGAAGGCCUCGGUGUAAGCACUUGCGGAGCGAACGGCGUUGCUAAUACCAGACGCUAAUGACGGUACCCGCACGAAUAAGCACCGGCUAACUACGUGCCAGCAGCCG
rnacentral:rRNA from 1 species